rnacentral:rRNA from 1 species
GGCGGCAGGCUUAACACAUGCAAGUCGAACGUGAAGCCCGAGCUUGCUCGGGUGGAAAGUGGCAGACGGGUGAGUAACACGUGGGAAUCUACCCAGAGGUAUGGAAUAACUCAGGGAAACUUGAGCUAAUACCGUAUACGCCCGCAAGGGGAAAGAUUUAUCGCCUUUGGAUGAGCCCGCGCUGGAUUAGCUUGUUGGUGAGGUAAAGGCUCACCAAGGCGACGAUUCAUAGCUGGUCUGAGAGGACGAUCAGCCACACUGGAACUGAGACACGGUCCAGACUCCUACGGGAGGCAGCAGUGGGGAAUCUUGCACAAUGGGCGCAAGCCUGAUGCAGCCAUGCCGCGUGAGUGUAGAAGGCCCUAGGGUUGUAAAGCUCUUUCACCAGGAAAGAUAAUGACGGUACCUGGAGAAGAAGCCCCGGCUAACUCCGUGCCAGCAGCCGCGGUAAUACGGAGGGGGCUAGCGUUGUUCGGAAUCACUGGGCGUAAAGCGCACGUAGGCGGAUGAUCAAGUUGGGGGUGAAAGCCCGGGGCUCAACCUCGGAACUGCCCUCAAAACUGAUCGUCUCGAGUACGGGAGAGGUGAGUGGAAUUCCUAGUGUAGAGGUGAAAUUCUUAGAUAUUAGGAAGAACACCAGUGGCGAAGGCGGCUCACUGGCCCGUUACUGACGCUAAGGUGCGAAAGCGUGGGGAGCAAACAGGAUUAGAUACCCUGGUAGUCCACGCCGUAAACGAUGAGUGCUAGUUGUCGUGCGGCAUGCCGUUCGGUGACGCAGCUAACGCAUUAAGCACUCCGCCUGGGGAGUACGGUCGCAAGACUAAAACUCAAAGAAAUUGACGGGGGCCCGCACAAGCGGUGGAGCAUGUGGUUUAAUUCGAGGCAACGCGAAGAACCUUACCAGCUUUUGACAUCCCGGUCGCGAGGAUCAGAGAUGAACCUCUUCAGUUCGGCUGGACCGGUGACAGGUGC